GACGAACGCUGGCGGCGUGCUUAACACAUGCAAGUCGAACGGAAAGGCCCUGCUUUUGUGGGGUGCUCGAGUGGCGAACGGGUGAGUAACACGUGAGUAACCUGCCCUUGACUUUGGGAUAACUUCAGGAAACUGGGGCUAAUACCGGAUAGGAGCUCCUGCUGCAUGGUGGGGGUUGGAAAGUUUCGGCGGUUGGGGAUGGACUCGCGGCUUAUCAGCUUGUUGGUGGGGUAGUGGCUUACCAAGGCUUUGACGGGUAGCCGGCCUGAGAGGGUGACCGGCAACAUUGGGACUGAGAUACGGCCCAGACUCCUACGGGAGGCAGCAGUGGGGAAUAUUGCACAAGGGGCGGAAGCCUGAUGCAGCAACGCCGCGGGCGGGAUGACGGCCUUCGGUUGGUAAACCGCUUUCGCCUGUGACGAAGCGUGUGUGACGGUAAUUGGUAAAGAAGCACCGGCUAACUACGUG
rnacentral:rRNA from 1 species